UACGGAGGGUGCGAGCGUUGUCCGGAAUCACUGGGCGUAAAGGGCGUGUAGGCGGCUACGUAAGCCACGCGUGAAAGCCCGGGGCUCAACCCUGGAACGGCGCGUGGGACUGCGCGGCUCGAGCAUGGUAGAGGCGAGUGGAAUUCCUGGUGUAGCGGUGGAAUGCGUAGAGAUCAGGAAGAACACCGGUGGCGAAGGCGGCUCGCUGGGCCAUUGCUGACGCUGAGGCGCGAAAGCGUGGGGAGCAAACAGG
rnacentral:rRNA from 1 species